rnacentral:rRNA from 1 species
AGUGAACGCUGGCGGCGUGCUUAACACAUGCAAGUCGAACGAGAACGGAUUAUAGCUUGCUAUAAUUGUCAGCUAAGUGGCGCACGGGUGAGUAAUGUAUAGGUAAUAUACCUCUUACUAAGGGAUAACAAAUGGAAACGUUUGCUAAUACCUUAUACUCCUUAUUAACAUAAGUUGAUAAGGGAAAGAUUUAUUGGUAAGAGAAUAGCCUGUAUUGUAUCAGUUAGUUGGUGGGGUAAUGGCUUACCAAGACUAUGACACAUAACUGGUUUGAGAGGAUGAUCAGUCACACUGGAACUGAGACACGGUCCAGACUCCUACGGGAGGCAGCAGUGGGGAAUAUUGCACAAUGGACGAAAGUCUGAUGCAGCAACGCCGCGUGGAGGAUGACACAUUUCGGUGCGUAAACUCCUUUUAUAUGAGAAGAUAAUGACGGUAUUAUAUGAAUAAGCACCGGCUAACUCCGUGCCAGCCGCCGCCGUAA